rnacentral:lncRNA from 1 species
CAGACACGUGGGUAUAUAUUAAAAAUACAAUGCAGCGGUUCAGUAGAGUUGGAGACAUUCAGACUAAUGAGAGAAGAGGGACACAGUCACCAUUAUGCGCGAUUUAAGGGCUGUUCUGUGAAAGAGAGAGAGGACUUUUUAUGUGUAACCCUUAGUAGCAGACAGAUUUCAGCUCCAGAGAAGAUGAGCAGACAAGCUCCUUGAGGGUAUGGAAUGUGUCUCCUCCACUGUUACAUCCUUACAUCUAGGACAGUGUCUGGCAAUGAAGUAAGCCUUAACUAAUGCCUGUUAGAUGGAUAAAUUAAUGUACUCAAGCAUCUGAGGACAGGUUAAACAGUUAGAAUCCUGUCUCAUUUGGAAAUUCUUUGGUUUAUGACGGUAGUUCUCUAGGAAUCAGAAGAAAGAACUCUUCUUGGUGGCUGGAGUGCCCAGGUAAGGCUUUGAGGAAGGGGAAAGAUGGAGCCUCUCUUCUGCAUCAGAUAACAUGACCAGAGAUGUGGGCCUUACAAUGCCAGAGGUGCAGUCUGCAAGGUAGGUGAAAGCUUAAGUGCAGCCCAGCCUUGGACCCCCAUUGGAUGGACGGCACCCGUGCUUGUGCGGGCAUCUCUUAGUGUGCGCUGAUGCUGAAACCCUCCUUCUGUCCACUCUCAGGGGCCGUAGCACCAGACCUGGAGCUAAGGAGCAUCUUCAGUUUUUCUCCUUCUUUUUGUUUUGUUAUGAAACAUUUUAAAUGUUCAGAAAAUUGCAAGGGCGAGCCCAGAUGCUGACUCCAGCCCUGUUCUUGGACUUCAGUCUCCCUGUGAGCUCCUGCCCUUGGAUGUCCUUGAAUAGCAAAGAGCAUCAGCCUCGCGCGAAGCAUCAGAGCAGCGACUCUGGGGUGAAAUGCCACGUUCCAGUCCUGCCUCAACUGUUUACGAGCUACGUGACCUUCGGCCACUUACUGGACCUCUCUGUUCUUCAAUUUUCCUAUUUGCAAAAUGAGGAAAAGAACACCCAGCUCAAAGAGUUGUUUUGAGGAGUGAAAGCUUGAAUGUAAGCAAUGUGCUUCACAGGUACUGGCAUAUAGUCACAACAGCACGCAGUCUCCACUCGAUAGCAAGCACUCACUUAACUUUUAACUGUUAUUACCUUUUUAAAAAAGAGUAAAUUGUGCAUUUUCUCUAAGGAAAACCCUUAGAUACUUUAGUGUAAAUUCCCGGCUCUGACUCUGGCGACAUGAGGUGCCCUCCAGCCUCUCGACUUCAUCUCCUCCUCCC